GAUAUCAGGAGAAGACAUAAUAUAAUUUCCCUUGUACCUUUGUUUCUCUCAAUGGAAAAGAAGUAACAAAAUCAAGGGAAGACACAAUAUAACUUUUCACUAUCACAUAUUCAACAACAGUGGUGCCAAAACAAUAAUAUAUAGCUCAAAGAAAGUUUAAUUAAAUCAUGAGACAUCAACACAGUAUAGCAUGGAAACUAAUAAUAAAACUUAAAAGGUGCACGUAAUAUAUCAGAAUGUUCAAUUAAUAAGCACAUAUGUCAUGAAAUAGCAACAUAUUGCCCAUGCAUUUAUACAUUCCUUUAAUACUCGCACCACGAUCCUAAAAUAUGUUGUCCUCCCUCUUCUUGCUCCCAUGGAUCUAUUCUAUAAAAAUAAUAGCAAUUAAAAUAGACAUUGCUGGAAACGUACAACUGGUAUCGGUUUUCUAUAUUGGUAGUGAAACCACUAAAUAUGAUCCAAUAUAACUAAAAAUCAUCAAAAUUAUGUUCUAAAAUAAUUAAUUUGUUAUUAUACCUUUCCGUCAUUGUGACUAUCCUUGGCGAAGACGGCGACUCCUACACUGGCUUCAUCGCUAUGGUGGAGAUCAAGGAUCCUCGCCUUUGGUGUGAUAGUUUUAGUAUAUCCUUGCAUGCAUCAUGUUAAGUCCUGCGAUUUUAAUCAGAUCAUAAAGUAAGCGGUUUGCUGCAUACACUGAAGGAUGAUUUUAGAAUUCAGAAUGGAUUUUUUUUCUUCUUUUACAUGUUUUAAGUGUUAUUUUGGAGCAAUUUUCUAGAUUGUUAACAUGCAUAAACACUGUUGUAUUUAGUAUGCACCGGGGACUCAAAAAGCUUCGGCAAAUCCUCUAUUUACAUAUCUUUUCCUGUAGGUCCAAAAAAUGUGUUUCUGAUAAUAGAAAUCAGAAGCUAGGUAAAAGAAA
rnacentral:lncRNA from 1 species